rnacentral:rRNA from 1 species
GACUAAGCUACUAAGAGCAUAUAGUGGAUGCCUAGGCAGAUACAAGCGAAGAAGGACGUGGUUAACUGCGAUAAGUGUCGGUGAGUUGUAAACAAGCUUUGACCCGGCAAUCUCCGAAUAGGGAAACCAUAUCAGGGGUAACAGCCUGAUAACUGCAUACUGAAUUCAUAGGUAUGUAGAGCAAACCCAGGGAACUGAAACAUCUAAGUACCUGGAGGAAUAGAAAUCAAUUGAGAUUCCCAAAGUAGUGGCGAGCGAAAUGGGAAUAGCCUAAACCAUGUAGAUCAUAUGGCCUGCAAGUUUCGAUCACAUGGUGUCGUGGGAGCAUUUGGAAGUCUUUGCAGAGACUUCAAAGAGUUACAAAACUUUAUGAUAGAAGAACGGUUUGGAAAAUCCGGCCACAGAGGGUGAUAGCCCCGUAGUCGAAAUCAUAAAGUCUCUUGAAUGUUUCCCAAGUAGGGCGGGACACGAGAAAUCCUGUCUGAAUCCGGGAGGACCAUCUUCCA